UGAUGAGUGAUUAGUUAAUUGACUAUAACUGCCUUGGAAGUGAGGGAUCUAACAUUAAGUAGCCCUAUUUUGAUAAUGGCAGGAAUGGAGGAGGUCUUUAUUCCAGUGAGAUUGCUAAGGUGAACACUGCCAUGUUUAGUUUUGCCCAACCAAUAUCAAGGCACAGACACGGUCUCAAUGGGGAUAGCUGAGCUGACUACACUGACUGUGCUAAUGGUAGACUCCACUAAGCUGUCAGGCUGGCUAACAGCCUGCUUCCUGGCCUGCACACUAUCUCAUUGUGGAGCUAGUUGAUAACCUUAGCAGUAAAUGCAAGAAAUCCUACCUUACUAAAACUCAUCCUCUCUCAAUCUCUCUUUAGGCCUACUCACUGGGGGGCUCCCAGUCGAAUGGCUUUGGAGGUUCACUGUGUUUCUCCCUUUCCAGUCCUAACCUGUGAGAGUCUGUCACUCCCCUUGAUACAGGUGUUUAUUAGCUAUCAAUUCCAUUAUUUCCUGUAGUGUUCAUGAUCUCUCAACUUGUGGCCUUUAUUUUCUGUCUUCCUGUAGCAUAAAAGCUGCAAUUGAAGUGUAGACCGUGGCUCAAAGGGACCCACCCGGUUUGCGUCCAGAAGCUUAUGCCGCAUUCAAGUACUAGUCGGACCAAGGAAACUCUGACAUUUCCAACUUGCUAACUGGUUGUUGUUACACACGUGCCGCAUUCAAUGAAAUCAGCAAGUUGUACAUUUCAGAGUUUCCUAGUUCCAACUAGCAUGUGAACGCGGCAUUACUCCAAAAGCCUACCCCGGACGACGCUGGGCCAAUUGUGCGCCGCCAUAUGGGACUCCCAAUCACGGCCGGAUGUGAUGCAGGCUGAAUUCGAACCAGGGACACGUCUUGCACUGAGAUGCAGUGCCUUAGACCACUGCGCCACUCAGGAGCCCAGGACAAAUUAGCUAGCAACAGCAAGCUAGAUAGCUAAAUUGCCAUGAAUGUUUAAUGCUUUUCAACCUGUCCCCAAAUUAAUGUAGUUGGUUCAGAGUUCACGUGCG
ensembl:lncRNA